GAACUGUCUUUAAUUUUUAUUAUUAAAUUUACUUUAAGAGGUGCAAAGACCUUUAAACAAAAAAAAAGACGAGAAGACCCUUAGAGUUUUUAAAAAAGUUAAAUCUAUAAAUUUUUUGUUGGGGCAACAGGGUGACAUAAGAAAUACACCUUAAGUUAAAUAUAUUUUAUUGGUCGAAUUUUUAUUAAGUAAAAACAAACUACCUAAGGGAUAACAGCAUAAUUUUGUAAUUAAGAUUGUGACCUCGAUGUUGGAUUAG
rnacentral:rRNA from 1 species